UGGGGAAUUUUGCACAAUGGGGGAAACCCUUAUGCAGCGACGCCGCGUGAUUUAGAAGGCCUUCGGGUUGUAAAAAUCUUUUGUAUGGGAAGAAAAUGACAGUACCAUACGAAUAAGGACCGGCUAAUUACGUGCCAGCAGCCGCGGUAAUACGUAAGGUCCGAGCGUUGUCCGGAAUCAUUGGGCGUAAAGGGUACGUAGGCGGAUAAGCAAGUUAGAAGUGAAAUCCUAUAGCGCAACUAUAGUAAGCUUUUAAAACUGCUCAUCUUGAGGUAUGGAAGGGAAAGUGGAAUUCCUAGUGUAGCGGUGAAAUGCGCAGAUAUUAGGAGGAAUACCGGUGGCGGAGGCGACUUUCUGGCCAUAUACUGACGCUGAGGUACGAAAGCGUGGGUAGCAAACAGG
rnacentral:rRNA from 1 species